AAUCAGGAAAAAGUCAUCUAUUACGUAACUACUAGGGCAAAUUUGGGGUAUUUCCCUUCUCGAAAUCCCGAGUUUCUGGUCGCGUCGGGGAGAGAGAGAGACGCGACGAUGUCGAACGUGUACGUGCUCGAGCCGCCGACGAAGGGGAAGGUGGUGGUGCAGACUACAGUUGGGCCGAUCGACAUCGAGCUGUGGCCGAAGGAGGUGCCCAAGGCCGUCCGCAACUUCGUCCAGCUCUGCCUUGAGGGCUACUUCGACGAUACCAUCUUCCACCGCAUCAUCAAGGGUUUCCUCGUCCAGGGCGGUGAUCCUACUGGCAGCGGAACCGAUUCGAAGAAGGAGCCAACGCACAAUAUUGCUUUUAAGGCAAGGUUGGACGAACAAGACUUGGAAUCCUCCCUUGAGGACGAAGAAACAACAAUGAUGGUAAGGCGAUUUAAGAAAUUAAUUAAAUAUAGAAAAACUAACCAUUCGCAGGGUAGAAAGAAAAGAACGAUCAGAUACUACCACUGCAACGAAGAAGAACAUGUUAAGGACAACUACUCUAAGCUAAGGAACAAGGAUCAGGACGAAGGAAAGAAGCCUGUCCAAACGAACAAGUACAAGACUUUAAAGGCGACGUGGAAGGAAACGUCGUCCGAAUCAGAAGUUGAGGCAUUCUCCGGUCUUGCGUUGAUGGCAAGUCAUCAAGACAAAUACGAAGAAAGCUCUUCCGAAAUGAGCAUCGAGAGUAGCAGUUCAGGAGGAGCCACGGACAAUGAGAUCGGUAAGUCAGGUGGGGAAAGUAUUUACGGUGGAGUGUUUGCUGAUGAGCUCCAUUCUAGACUUCGAUUUAAUCACAGAGGCUUGGUUGCAUGUGCAAAUGCUGGCUCUCCUCAUUCGAAUGGAAGCCAAUUCUUUAUGACAUUAGAUCGUUGCGACUGGCUAGAUCGGAAACACACAAUUUUUGGAAAGGUUACAGGAGAUUCCAUAUUUAACCUUCUAAGGUUGGGUGAAUUUGAAACUGACGAAGAUGAUCGACCGGUUUACCCCCCUCCAAAGAUUCUUUCUGUUGAGGUGCUAUGGAAUCCAUUUGAUGACAUUGUUCCAAGGCAACUAAAGGAGAAACCUCAAACUCAUGCCAAGGUUGCAGCUGAAGACCAGGAGCAAAAAAAGAAAGCAGUCAAGAAGCUUAACAUGCUCUCUUUUGGUGACGAAGUUGAAGAAGAUGAAUUGGAAGCUGCAAACAUAAAGGAUAAGAUCAAGAGUAUCCAUGAUGUGUUAGAUGAUCCUCGUUUCCUCAAAGAAGAAGCAAAACCUGAACCAUUGUACUGAAUAUCGAAGUACUGAUGUUUCUGGUGGCUGCAUCCAGUCUAAAGCUGAAAUGGAAAAGAAAAAUGAAGCUCGUUUAGCUGUCAGAGAUGCUCUAGUUUCCAACAAAGGUAACAACAUUAGAGAACCUCGGAUGGAUGAUUUCAGUGCUGAUGAUCAUAGUGAUAAUGACGACGAAUCCAACUUUGAUGCAAGAAUGCGAAUGCAAAUCUUGAGAAAACGCAAGGAGAUGGAUGAUGUUACCAAUCAUGACAAGAUACCUGCUGAUAAACCUAAGCGGAAACACCGGGAGGCAUCACCUUCCAGGCCAGUUGCUGAAGUUAAAAAUUCCAAGGUUGAGAAAUUGUCAAUGAAGAAAAUGGGCAUUGGAUCAGAAGCCAGAGCUGAUCUUAUGGACAAGGCAGAUGCAGACAUGGAGUUACUGAAUCAUGCUGAACAAGAGAGGCAAUUGCUGAAGCAGAAGAGGCGUCGAAAUCAGGGACGUGAAGGAGAUACUCUAGCCAAGCUGGAUAGAUUCAAAAAGUCUAUAUCUACAGCUACCAAGGUUUCUGCGCCGAGUAGCAAUGGUAAGGAGGCUACCGAGGAUGAUGAUUCUGGAUGGAUGGCAACACAGCUAAAGUUCCUUUCUGAGUCCUCUGAUAAGGAUAGCAUGACUAGAAAAGAUGAUCCAAAUGAAUAUGUUGUGCAUGAUCCUCUUCUGGAGAAGGGCAAAGAGAAAUUUAAUAGAAUGCAGGCGAAGCUCAAGCGACGGGAGCGGGAGUGGGCUGGCAAAUCUCUCACCUAAUUAUUUACAUGAUCAGGUCUACCAUUAUGGCACCUGACUUUUCAGAUUUCAAUCAUCCUUCAUGUUGACUAUGAAGAUGAUUUGCAGCGUCAAGCCUUAUUCAAGCUGUGAUGUUUCACCCAAAUUGCACACUAGGCUAUUGCUGUUCAACAAAUGCAGGAGUUGUUAGAUAUACUGUGGUUGUCUCCCAGAUAUCACCAACUUGCCAAACUGGCUGUUGAUUGUUGCCCAGUACCAUGACCAUCUAUUCCUUUUGCCAACUUCAUUCCAAGCAUAAAUCUUUAUUAUGUUUUCUAGAUACUGUAAAUAACUUUUAUUAAAAUCCAGGAGAGAUUUGUUGGUGUGCUUAACUAUGUGCCAAUCUACUGCUCGAUUUUUGGUGACAGUGGACAUUCAUAGAUAAGUUUACGUCCUUGACUGGUUACAAUGGAAUGAUUCUGUGUGCAACUUCGUUUCC